GCCCUCGUGGAUCAGUGGUAGAUCAGUCUUUCCACAUAAAUGACAACAGUCGUGUCGGAGGCUGGAGUGGGUUCGACUCCCACCGAAGGCA